rnacentral:rRNA from 1 species
AGUAGGGAUACCCGCUGAACUUAAGC